AGAACCCCGGGGGUAACCCUCCCCCAAAAGGGGGGGUUACCUUUGGAAACAAGUUGCUAAUUCCCGCAUAAAACCUUAACCCGGCAUGGUGUAGGGUUGAAAAGAUGGUUUUGGCUAUCACUUUAGGAUGGACCCGCGGUGCAUUAGUUAGUUGGUGAGGUAAAGGCUCCCCAAAACCGUGAUGCAUAGCCGACCUGAGAGGGUAAUCGGCCACACUGGGACUGAGACACGGCCCAGACUCCUACGGGAGGCAGCAGUAGGGAAUCUUCCACAAUGGACGAAAGUCUGAUGGAGCAACGCCGCGUGAGUGAAGAAGGUUUUCGGAUCGUAAAACUCUGUUGUUGGAGAAGAAUGUAUCUGAUAGUAACUGAUCAGGUAGUGACGGUAUCCAACCAGAAAGCCACGGCUAACUACGUGCCAGCAGCCGCGGUAAUACGUAGGUGGCAAGCGUUGUCCGGAUUUAUUGGGCGUAAAGCGAGCGCAGGCGGUUUCUUAAGUCUGAUGUGAAAGCCUUCGGCUCAACCGAAGAAGUGCAUCGGAAACUGGGAAACUUGAGUGCAGAAGAGGACAGUGGAACUCCAUGUGUAGCGGUGAAAUGCGUAGAUAUAUGGAAGAACACCAGUGGCGAAGGCGGCUGUCUGGUCUGUAACUGACGCUGAGGCUCGAAAGCAUGGGUAGCAAACAGGAUUAGAUACCCUGGUAGUCCAUGCCGUAAACGAUGAGUGCUAGGUGUUGGAGGGUUUCCGCCCUUCAGUGCCGCAGCUAACGCAUUAAGCACUCCGCCUGGGGAGUACGACCGCAAGGUUGAAACUCAAAGGAAUUGACGGGGGCCCGCACAAGCGGUGGAGCAUGUGGUUUAAUUCGAAGCAACGCGAAGAACCUUACCAGGUCUUGACAUCCUUUGACCACUCUAGAGAUAGAGCUUUCCCUUCGGGGACAAAGUGACAGGUGGUGCAUGGUUGUCGUCAGCUCGUGUCGUGAGAUGUUGGGUUAAGUCCCGCAACGAGCGCAACCCUUAUUACUAGUUGCCAGCAUUUAGUUGGGCACUCUAGUGAGACUGCCGGUGACAAACCGGAGGAAGGUGGGGACGACGUCAAAUCAUCAUGCCCCUUAUGACCUGGGCUACACACGUGCUACAAUGGAUGGUACAACGAGUUGCGAGACCGCGAGGUUUAGCUAAUCUCUUAAAACCAUUCUCAGUUCGGAUUGUAGGCUGCAACUCGCCUACAUGAAGCCGGAAUCGCUAGUAAUCGCGGAUCAGCA
rnacentral:rRNA from 1 species